GAUGAACGCUGGCGGCGUGCCUAAUACAUGCAAGUCGAGCGAACGGACGAGAAGCUUGCUUCUCUGAUGUUAGCGGCGGACGGGUGAGUAACACGUGGAUAACCUACCUAUAAGACUGGGAUAACCUCGGGAAACCGGAGCUAAUACCGGAUAAUAUUUUGAACUGCAUGGUUCAAAAGUGAAAGACGGUCUUGCUGUCACUUAUAGAUGGAUCCGCGCUGCAUUAGCUAGUUGGUAAGGUAACGGCUUACCAAGGCAACGAUGCAUAGCCGACCUGAGAGGGUGAUCGGCCACACUGGAACUGAGACACGGUCCAGACUCCUACGGGAGGCAGCAGUAGGGAAUCUUCCGCAAUGGGCGAAAGCCUGACGGAGCAACGCCGCGUGAGUGAUGAAGGUCUUCGGAUCGUAAAACUCUGUUAUUAGGGAAGAACAUAUGUGUAAGUAACUGUGCACAUCUUGACGGUACCUAAUCAGAAAGCCACGGCUAACUACGUG
rnacentral:rRNA from 1 species